rnacentral:rRNA from 1 species
UCGGGAAUAUUGCACAAUGGAGGGAACUCUGAUGCAGUGACACCGCGUAUAGGAAGAAGGCCUUAGGGUUGUAAGCUAUUGUCGUGUGAGAAGAAAAUGACUAUCACAGGAGGAAGCCCUGGCUAAAUAUGUGCCAGCAGCCGCGGUAAUACAUAUGGGGCGAGCGUUAUCCGGAUUUAUUGGGUGUAAAGGGUUCGUAGGCGGGAAAGUAAGUCAGUAUGUGAAAUCCCUCGGCUCAACCGAGGAACUGCAAUUGAAACUACUUUUCUUGAGUACUGGAGGGGAAAGUGGAAUUCUUAGUGUAGCGGUGAAAUGCGUAGAUAUUAGGAAGAACACCAGUGGCGAAGGCGACUUUCUGGACAGUAACUGACGCUGAGGAACGAAAGUGUGGGGAGCAAAC